AACGAACGCUGGCGGCAGGCUUAACACAUGCAAGUCGAACGCGUGUAGCAAUACACGAGUGGCGCACGGGUGAGUAACGCGUGGAUAUCUGCCUUUUGGUUCGGAAUAACCUUGGGAAAC
rnacentral:rRNA from 1 species